rnacentral:rRNA from 1 species
AGAACGAACGCUGGCGGCAGGCUUAACACAUGCAAGUCGAACGCACUCUUCGGAGUGAGUGGCAGACGGGUGAGUAACGCGUGGGAACGUACCUUUCGGUUCGGAAUAACCCAGGGAAGCUUGGGCUAAUACCGAAUGCGCCCUUACGGGGAAAGAUUUAUCGUCGAAAGAUCGGCCCGCGUCGGAUUAGCUAGUUGGUGGGGUAAUCGGCCUACCAAGGCGACGAUCCGUAGCUGGUCUGAGAGGAUGAUCACGCCACACGU